rnacentral:rRNA from 1 species
UAGGGAAUCUUCCGCAAUGGGCGAAAGUCUGACGGAGCCACGCCGCGUGAGUGAAGAAGGAUUUCGGUUCGUAAAACUCUGUUGCUGGGGCAGAAAAAAUGUAUAGUAACUAUAUAUAAAAGAUACGGUACCUAACAAGAAAGCCACGGCUAACUCCGUGCCAGCAGCUGCGGCAAUACGUAGGUGGCAAGCGUUGUCCGGAAUUAUUGGGCGUAAAGCGCGCGCAGGUGGUUUAGAAAGUCUGAUGUGAAAGCCCUCGGCUCAACCGUGGAGGGUCAUUGGAUACUGAAAAACUUGAGUGCAGGAGAGAUAAGUGGAAUUCCUGGUGUAGCGGUGAAAUGCGUAGAGAUUAGGAGGAACACCGGUGGCGAAGGCGGCUUUUUAGCCUGCAACUGACGCUGAGGCGCGAAAGCGUGGGGAGCAAACAGG